rnacentral:misc_RNA from 1 species
AAAAGUCGUAACAAGGUAACCGUAGGUGAACCUGCGGUUGGAUCAUUAGAUGAACGUAUACGGUGGUUUGCGCAUCACUGGGACACAUGUGAACUGUUUUUGGGCAGGCCGCUGCAUUUCAGCUAGAUUUGCGUUGCCUACCCUGUAAGGUUUUUUCAACCCGCUGGUUAUUACUUUUAGUCUGAGCAUUUUUUUUGAAACAACUUUUGACAACGGAUUUCUCGGCUCUCG